GACGAACGCUGGCGGCGUGCCUAAUACAUGCAAGUCGAGCGGACAGAUGGGAGCUUGCUCCCUGAUGUUAGCGGCGGACGGGUGAGUAACACGUGGGUAACCUGCCUGUAAGACUGGGAUAACUCCGGGAAACCGGGGCUAAUACCGGAUGCUUGUUUGAACCGCAUGGUUCAAACAUAAAAGGUGGCUUCGGCUACCACUUACAGAUGGACCCGCGGCGCAUUAGCUAGUUGGUGAGGUAAYGGCUCACCAAGGCAACGAUGCGUAGCCGACCUGAGAGGGUGAUCGGCCACACUGGGACUGAGACACGGCCCAGACUCCUACGGGAGGCAGCAGUAGGGAAUCUUCCGCAAUGGACGAAAGUCUGACGGAGCAACGCCGCGUGAGUGAUGAAGGUUUUCGGAUCGUAAAGCUCUGUUGUUAGGGAAGAACAAGUACCGUUCGAAUAGGGCGGUAC
rnacentral:rRNA from 1 species